rnacentral:rRNA from 1 species
UGGGGAAUCUUGGACAAUGGGGGCAACCCUGAUCCAGCAAUGCCGCGUGUGGGAUGAAGGCCUUCGGUUGUAAACCACUUUUGGCGGGGGCGAAAUAUCGAGUGCUAAUACCAUUCGGUGAUGACGGUACCCGCAGAAUAAGCACCGGCUAACUACGUGCCAGCAGCCGCGGUAAUACGUAGGGUGCAAGCGUUAAUCGGAAUUACUGGGCGUAAAGCGUGCGCAGGCGGUUAGGUAAGACAGGUGUGAAAUUCCCGGGCUCAACCUGGGAACUGCAUUUGUGACUGCCUGACUAGAGUGCGGCAGAGGGGAGUGGAAUUCCGCGUGUAGCAGUGAAAUGCGUAGAUAUGCGGAGGAACACCGAUGGCGAAGGCAACUCCCUGGGCCUGCACUGACGCUCAUGCACGAAAAGCGUGGGGAGCAAAACAGGAUUAGAUACCCUGGUAGUCCACGCCCUAAAACGAUGUCGACUAGUUGUUGGACGGGUUACUGUUCAGUAAC